ACGAACAUGCGAGGACUUUUGUAACCUUUAUUGAAAUGGUAUAUUACCAGGGACUAUGAUAUGUUUGCGGUGUUAAAGAUAUGAUGUAACAACGUGUUAUCUAAAGAACUAUCUCAUUGUUUAUAUCCAAAUCAACAUACAAACCAGUGAAAUCGAGUUGAUGUGUGCAAUUUGACAGUUCGUGAAGAUGAAGCUUAAUAUUCUGAAAUAUAUGACAUACAUGGAAGAAUAAUUUGUAGAUAAAGUAUUUUCCACGAAUUCAACAACAUAAAUCAUGCUACAUUAUGGAGUGGAAGUUCAAUGAUAUUGUGUAAACAUUGUGUAAUUAAAUAUUUGCACACACUUUGGAGUGUAAGCAGAAAACUCAAAACAGUGCGGUCACACAAGUUUAACACGGAUCCUUACAGGAGUUCUAAUGAUGAAGAUUUAUAUUCAUAAAGGUUGCAAGUGGACAGUUUCAAGGUGUUUGCGGGACUUGGAAAAACACUAUCAGUGACAUUGACCCUAGAGGCUGCAAACGCAAUCCCAUGAAAGUUUAUGCCUGUGCCUAUUAGCUGCAUUUUGGCAUGACCCCACCGUGACACCAUCAUGACAUACAUAGUGUUUAAAUGCCAUAAGUGACAUGAGAUAGAAGUGACUUGCAAUUCACAGUCAGACCCAGACAUUGGAAGACUUAUAGAAACAGAGUGAGACAGAAGAGAUUGGGGUGCAGUAUCCUAGCUCUUUGAGAACAGAAACAUGAUCGGUGUAAAGCAUCGAUACUCAGGAUAUAGUAACAUCAGUACCAUUAUAAUUAAAGAAGUUUUAUUAGCGUAAGUGUCAGUGACAAGGGAUUAGUGGCCGCUAUGUAGUAGUUAAAUGGCUUCAAGGGGUCAAAAAUUAGUGACUGCGGCCACGUUAGACAGUUGGCUGCUUAAUGAACGUAAUUUAUAUAGUAAAAACGUACGGGGGAGGGAUUUUGAGUGGCCCGGUAAGGCAGGUGGCCUUUUAAAGCAGGUGACCAUUCAAUCAGGUUUGACUGUACUUGUGUAAUAGUUUGGGUCUUUGGUCACUGAGUGCAUACUUCAUUAAAAAUAAACAUUCUUUCUCUACAUACUUGGGAAGGAUAAGAGUGGCAAAAAGCUUAUAUCGGUAGCCUCACUAAAAUAACACUAUCUGUGCAUAUUUCCCACAACUUAAAAACCAACAGGUAUAACGAAAAGAGAAAACCUUACUUUUUAUAAUUUACUAUCAUUUUAUUGAGAUAAAGUAUUUUCAAAAUUGCCACACUAUUUUUAACACUGGGGAUAUCUUGUGUAUGAUAUGCAGUCACAGUGAUUGCAAUUCUAGUUUGUAAGGAAAAGUGAUUUGCAUUCAUUAAGUAUUUGCCAACUCAUGUUGCAAAAACAAUGCAACGUACACUUUAUAGCUCAUUAACCGUGUGUAUAGAACACUUUUCAUCUUAGUCUGCGCUAGGUUUUGUUAAAUUAAUAAUCAAACAAACAAGAGCUGCCGCAGCACAGCACGCUCGACUAUAUGCCACUUUGUCUUAGCAAUUCAGUACUAACCAUUUUUCUAUUUUAAGUAAUAGUGACCUUGACCUUGACCAUGAUUCUCGGGGUCCCAAACACAAUCCUAUGAAUGGUCUCUAUAAACAUUUUCUAUCUACUAUGUUUAGUCACAAUAUUAAUAUAUAACUUAAAUUAUUCAGACAAACCAUUUUUAUAUUUUUAGUAACAGCGACCUAGGGGCACCAAAUGUUAUCCCGUGAAAGGUCUUCAUAAACUCUUCCUAUGUAUAAAGUUUGGUUACAAUACGUCAAACCUAACUAAAAUUAUUCGAUACCAUAGGUGAGUUUGAUGCCGCCCUCCUGCUGGCCGCCCGAACAUCGACUUAUAUCAUUUUUAUGACCGGGUUUCACUCUUUCACUUUGUGAAAACAUGGUUGAAAAUAUAAAAACAUGCCUGUCAAUAGCCAAAACAUUUUUUAAUAAAAAUUAACUUUUUUAAUCGAUCAAGGGCUAUAAAUUGUAUUCAGGAUAAUAUGGAGUUAUGAAACCUAAUUGUGUGAUGGCAAUAACUGUGUGAAUUAUGAAGCCAAUUAUAAAAGCACCGGCUAGUCUCAAUCAUGCAGCCGCUCUAAUUAGAGUCAAUGAACGAUAUUAUUUAAGACCCGCAUAUACAAGCGUCUAGAUGAUCGGGACUAAAUUGGCAACAUGAAAACAUUUAUUUCACUUCCUGAUUCUUAAAAAUUAUGUCAACAAAUGACAAUUCUACCACCAUUUAAAGUUUGAUUAAAUUUUGGACAAAUGUGUUGGUUUAAUUGGGCUCCCGCUAAAAGUAAACAUAUAUAUACUGGGCAAGAAGUGCUGAAUUUUAUCGUGAAUGACAGUGAUUAUCCGAAGUUUGAAUUUGGUUCGGACAUGUUUGACGGGAAUUCGGAUGACCGUUACAGUGGAAAGACAGUUUCCAAUCGGUCAUCUAUACCUACUACACCUGUCCAGGUUUAAAAAUUCAGGUGUGUAUAUUAACUUCUUUGUUGUUUUGCUGUUUAUAUAGCAAAUAUGAUGUAAUUUCUGUAUUAUUUGUUUCCUUCAAAAAUAUACAUUUAAUGAUUUAUGCAUGUUUGUUUUUAUUUUGCUACAGAUCAGAGUAUAGUGUUUAUUUAAUUCAUAUGCAAUGCAUGUACAGUAAUAGAAAAAUAAAGUUUGGCCAAGAAACGAGCACCACCUUUCUUGUGUUAUCAUCAAACUGUUUCAUUAAUGCAUACUACAUUAUACUACAAUGAACAUUUAUGUAUGAUAUUGCUUAUUAAAAUUUCAGAUUCCUCCGACGCAGCGGAUCAUGAAAUUCCCGUCCCCAUGAGGCAAUGAGGGCGUGCUUGUGGUGGAGGCCUUGGUCGCCGAUGAGUCAAUGUUUGUGGACAGUAGGAUGACGCCAAAAAUUAACCCGACUGACAUUCAUAUGUGCUUCAUGCAAUCCCAUGAGUUUUACCAUUCACACAAAAACAUCAAACAAGCCGGAUUGUGUAUAUUUUAUUAGUCAAAAAGGAUAAAAGAAAUAGUGUCAGACUGUGUGAUUGGAAAAAGGUAUUAAUCACACUUUGUGUUGCGAAUAAAUGUUUGUAGAUUUUUUAGAUGUUCAUGUGUAUAUUUAAACUAUAUAUGGAAAUCAUUCAAGUGUUAAAUGUUUAUGCUGAUUGGUUUUUGUCUAUGAAAAAAUAUUGCAUAUUCUUGUAUUGUCUUGAAAUAUUUUUUGCUAUAUAUGAAAAUUGACACAAUGAGUAUUUGCAGUACAACAGAAGUAAAAGUGUCUUUUGUAUGUAUGUUUAUGUUUACUAUUACUUGUCUAAAUUUGAACAAGAUAUCUAAAAAAAAUUAAGGAAAAUCUGCAAGUUUAAAAAAGAUAGGCGUUAAAUUCUGAGAAAACCUAAAAUCAAUCUGGCGCUGGCUGGAAUUUUCUGUGUCAUAUUUGGUGCUGAAAUGGUUAACAAUACGGUGUAGUUUUUUGUAAAUUCUCUUCCAGAACUUAGAUGGCUACCAAGGCCAAUUGUGUAGUCAAAGCAAGAGUGAUAGCUGUAGUUUAUAUUUGAUUUCAAAUGCCUAUAUUCAUUUUGCGAGUUAUUUUUCAAGUCACCUUGUCUAGUCAUUUCCAUGGCAUGAGAUAUGACAAUGUAUUUUAAUAGAGAAUUAUUUUUUUACCAAGUUUUCCUAAGGAAAAGAGGAAAACCUAUUUAUAGAUUUGGAUAUGCCAUUGGGCAGGCAGGUGGCUGUCAGGGGCGUAGCUUCCUAUAGGCCGUGUAGGUCGCGGCCUACACAAUUUUCAGAAAAUAAUAAUAAUAAUAAUGCCAAAUCUGCAAUAAAACUUAAUUAAUAUAUCGGAAACCAGGUAUUUCAAAUCUAUCGUUUUCCUUUUCACUAAAAUACACAUUCAUACGACAUUAAUGUUACGUAUAUAAGUUGUCGAAAUAUGCAUACCAGUAGUCUGCACUUUGAUGCUGUUCAUUACAUAAAAUAUUCAUUUACGGUAAAGCAUAUUGAUAUCGUUACUCUCAUUAAUGUUUUUACAACAAAGAAAUAUAUGCUAAAACACACCCAAGACCACCUAGCUUAAACGAAAUCCCGGGGAUGCAUGCCCUCGUGACCCCCCCCCCUCCUCAGAAAGUGGCCUACACAUAUACUUUCGUCAAGCUACGCACUUGGCUGUGACCAUUGGAGCUUGUGUCCAGGCUCUUAGCCAUGCAUAGGGUAUUUUGGAAAAACUUUUCAAAGAGGUUUAAAAAAAACUGGAAAACUGUGGUUUUGAGUUCUCUCAUUUAUGAAAUAGUUUAAAGAAAUACAUUUGC